UACGUAGGGUGCGAGCGUUACUCGGAAUUACUGGGCGUAAAGCGUGCGCAGGCGGUUCGGCAAGUCAGGUGUGAAAUCCCCGGGCUUAACCUGGGAAUUGCGCUUGAAACUAGCGGGCUUGAGUGUGGCAGAGGGGGGUGGAAUUCCACGUGUAGCAGUGAAAUGCGUAGAGAUGUGGAGGAACACCGAUGGCGAAGGCAGCGCCCUGGGUCACCACUGACGCUCAUGCACGAAAGCGUGGGGAGCAAACAGG
rnacentral:rRNA from 1 species